UGAGGAAUAUUGGGCAAUGGGCGAAAGCCUGACCCAGCCACGCCGCGUGAGUGAUGAAGGCCUUCGGGUCGUAAAGCUCUGUGGAGAGGGACGAAAACCCUGGUUUCAAAUAGGCUCCAGGCUUGACGGUACCUCUUUAGCAAGCACCGGCUAACUCUGUGCCAGCAGCCGCGGUAAUACAGAGGGUGCAAACGUUGCUCGGAUUUACUGGGCGUAAAGCGCGUGUAGGCGGGUUCGCAAGUCGGACGUG
rnacentral:rRNA from 1 species